AAAAACACGUUAGGUUACAGGGAUUUUAAACCUCCCUACUUUCCUCUCUUUUGCAAAUAAUAUGUUGGGAGCAGACAAACAUAAGAAUGCUCAUGAAAUACCUAAGAGAAAUGUUGCCUCAUAGAAUGCAAUGUCAUCAUAUGAAAGCCAAUACAAUGAAUUCUCUAAAAACCUUCCAACAAACUUCAAGUAAACCAAAUUAACACAAUUUCAUAUAGAUUAAAAAAAA
rnacentral:lncRNA from 1 species